GACGAACGCUGGCGGCGUGCUUUAUACAUGCAAGUCGAACGAUGAAGUUCCUUCGGGAAUGGAUUAGUGGCGAACGGGUGAGGAACACGUGAGAAACCUGCCUUUCAUUCUGGGAUAACACCGGGAAACCGGUGCUAAUACCGGAUACCCCAUCUUGGCGGCAUCGCCGAGCUGGGAAAAAUUUUGAUGAAAGAUGGUCUCGCGGCCUAUCAGCUAGUUGGUGAGGUAAAGGCUCACCAAGGCGACGACGGGUAGCCGGCCUGAGAGGGCGACCGGCCACACUGGGACUGAGACACGGCCCAGACUCCUACGGGAGGCAGCAGUAGGGAAUAUUGGGCAAUGGGCGAAAGCCUGACCCAGCGACGCCGCGUGAGGGAUGAAGGUCUUCGGAUUGUAAACCUCUUUCAGUAGGGAAGAAGCGAAAGUGACGGUACCUAAAGAAGAAGCACCGGCUAACUAUGUGCCAGCAGCCGCGGUAAUACAUAGGGUGCAAGCGUUGUCCGGAAUUAUUGGGCGUAAAGAGCUCGUAGGUCGUUUGUCGCGUCGAUUGUGAAAAUCUGAGGCUCAACCUCAGACCUGCAGUCGAUACGGGCAAACUAGAGUGUGGUAGGGGAGACUGGAAUUCCUGGUGUAGCGGUGGAAUGCGCAGAUAUCAGGAGGAACACCAAUGGCGAAGGCAGGUCUCUGGGCCAUAACUGACACUGAGGAGCGAAAGUGCGGGGAGCGAACAGGAUUAGAUACCCUGGUAGUCCGCACCGUAAACGGUGGGCACUAGUUGUGGGAACCUUCCACGGUUUCCGCGACGCAGCAAACGCAUUAAGUGCCCCGCCUGGGGAGUACGAUCGCAAGAUUAAAACUCAAAGGAAUUGACGGGGCCCCGCACAAGCAGCGGAGCAUGCGGCUUAAUUCGACGCAACGCGAAGAACCUUACCAAGGCUUGACAUAUAGUGAAAAGUGGCAGAGAUGUCA
rnacentral:rRNA from 1 species